AGUGGAGGGCCACAUGAGUCACCAUGUAGCAACAGCAAGGAUUGACUUCCUGGACCUGGGCAUUGCUACUUUCUGCCCCUGUGUGCAGCAAUACUUAGGCAGUCUUCACCCCUUAAAAGGUGCUGCUCUCUCUGCCUGAACUCCGUUCCCAGCUCCUGUACCAGCCAGCAGAGCUCAUCCCUGCGACAGCAGGAGCCUCUCCCAGAGAAACGGGGACCCUGGAUUCCUGGCACUGUGCACAUUUCUCUCCCCUGCUUUGGCCAACAGUCUGUGUGCUCUGCGGACAACACCCUCCCCGUGAAGCCCUGGAGACUCGGCCUCCCGCUCUAGCCCCAUCCUGACUUGCUGGGUGACUUUGGCCUGUCCCCCCAGGUGGGUGACCUCCCUCAGCCAGGCCUCGCCUCACCUCGACAUCAUGAUGGUUGCGCCCUCCCUCCUUGGUCCCUCCCCACUGCAGCCCUGGAAGCCUGUGGUCUCCUGGCUUGGACCCUCUCUGCUGCUGCACCUCCUGCCGGCCCUCUGACUGCAGCUGUGUCCUUUUCCUCUCCCAAGGCCCGCUCUGCCCGCCCAUCUGUCUGCUCAUGCUCUCUCCGGUCAUCCCAUCCACUCUUCUUCCAAACCCAGAGGCGCCAUACUCACCAGGCCCAGACCCCUCACCUCUGAGCAUGCAGGCCCUCAGCAGACCUCACCUGCCGCCAGGCUCCCCGGCCCUGCCCGGAUGACCCACUGGAGUAGAACUCCCGUGCUUUUGACUUGCUCCUGACCCUGGUUGUUUAUGUUCCUCCUCGAUUAAAAAAAAAAAAACCUCAUUCCUACUUUAUACUCUGUUAUCUCAUAAUUUAUGGACGCCACUAAACUGUCUGAACCCCUUUCCCAUAAGGCAAGG